UGGGGAAUUUUGGACAAUGGGCGAAAGCCUGAUCCAGCAAUGCCGCGUGUGUGAAGAAGGCCUUCGGGUUGUAAAGCACUUUUGUCCGGAAAGAAAUCCUUGGCUCUAAUACAGUCGGGGGAUGACGGUACCGGAAGAAUAAGCACCGGCUAACUACGUGCCAGCAGCCGCGGUAAUACGUAGGGUGCAAGCGUUAAUCGGAAUUACUGGGCGUAAAGCGUGCGCAGGCGGUUUGCUAAGACCGAUGUGAAAUCCCCGGGCUCAACCUGGGAACUGCAUUGGUGACUGGCAGGCUAGAGUAUGGCAGAGGGGGGUAGAAUUCCACGUGUAGCAGUGAAAUGCGUAGAGAUGUGGAGGAAUACCGAUGGCGAAGGCAGCCCCCUGGGCCAAUACUGACGCUCAUGCACGAAAGCGUGGGGAGCAAAACAGGAUUAGAUACCCUGGUAGUCCACGCCCUAAACGAUGUCAACUAGUUGUUGGGGAUUCAUUUCCUUAGUAACGUAGCUAACGCGUGAAGUUGACCGCCUGGGGAGUACGGUCGCAAGAUUAAAACUAAAUGAAUUGACGGGGUCAUAGCUGUUUCCU
rnacentral:rRNA from 1 species